rnacentral:rRNA from 1 species
GGGGAAUAUUGCACAAUGGGCGCAAGCCUGAUGCAGCGACGCCGCGUGGGGGAUGACGGCCUUCGGGUUGUAAACUCCUUUCGCUAGGGACGAAGCUUUUUGUGGCGGUACCUAGAUAAGAAGCACCGGCUAACUACGUGCCAGCAGCCGCGGUAAUACGUAGGGUGCGAGCGUUGUCCGGAAUUACUGGGCGUAAAGGGCUCGUAGGUGGUUUGUCGCGUCGUCUGUGAAAUUCCGGGGCUUAACUCCGGGCGUGCAGGCGAUACGGGCAUAACUUGAGUACUGUAGGGGUAACUGGAAUUCCUGGUGUAGCGGUGAAAUGCGCAGAUAUCAGGAGGAACACCGAUGGCGAAGGCAGGUUACUGGGCAGUUACUGACGCUGAGGAGCGAAAGCAUGGGUAGCGAACAGGAUUAGAUACCCUGGUAGUCCAUGCCGUAAACGGUGGGCGCUAGGUGUGAGGGUCUUUUCACGACUUUCGUGCCGUAGCUAACGCAUUAAGCGCCCCGCCUGGGGAGUACGGCCGCAAGGCUA